rnacentral:rRNA from 1 species
UGGCUGCAGUCGAGGAUCUUCGGCAAUGGGGGAAACCCUGACCGAGCGACGCCGCGUGCGGGAUGAAGGCCUUCGGGUUGUAAACCGCUGUCGUAGAGGAGGAAGUGCAGGGGGGUUCUCCCCUCUGUUUGACCUAUUCUAGGAGGAAGUACGGGCUAAGUUCGUGCCAGCAGCCGCGGUAAGACGAACCGUACAAACGUUACUCGGAAUUACUGGGCUUAAAGGGUGCGUAGGCUGCGCGAAAAGUUGGGUGUGAAAGCCCUCGGCUCAACCGAGGAAUUGCACUCAAAACUACCGUGCUCGAGGGAGACAGAGGUAAGCGGAACUCAAGGUGGAGCGGUGAAAUGCGUUGAUAUCUUGAGGAACACCGGUGGCGAAAGCGGCUUACUGGGUCUCUUCUGACGCUGAGGCACGAAAGCUAAGGUAGCAAACGGGAUUAGAUACCCCGGUAGUCUUAGCUGUAAACGAUGAGCACUUGUUUGGAGGGUCCUCCAUAGCCUUCCAGUCGUAGCGAAAGUGUUAAGUGCUCCGCCUGGGGAGUAUGGUCGCAAGGCUGAAACUCAAAGAAAUUGACGGGGGCUCACACAA